rnacentral:rRNA from 1 species
CAGUCGCCGCGGUAAAACGGAGGGUGCAAGCGUUAUCCGGAUUUAUUGGGUUUAAAGGGUCCGUAGGCGGAUCUGUAAGUCAGUGGUGAAAUCUCACAGCUUAACUGUGAAACUGCCAUUGAUACUGCAGGUCUUGAGUAAAUUUGAAGUGGCUGGAAUAAGUAGUGUAGCGGUGAAAUGCAUAGAUAUUACUUAGAACACCAAUUGCGAAGGCAGGUCACUAAGAUUUAACUGACGCUGAUGGACGAAAGCGUGGGGAGCGAACAGGAUUAGAUACCCCUGUAGUCCCUGUCUCUUAUAU